rnacentral:rRNA from 2 species
UGGGGAAUUUUGGACAAUGGGGGCAACCCUGAUCCAGCCAUGCCGCGUGAGUGAAGAAGGCCUUCGGGUUGUAAAGCUCUUUCGCGAGGGAAGAAAUUGCACCGGAUAAUACCUGGUGUAGAUGACGGUACCUUGAUAAGAAGCACCGGCUAACUACGUGCCAGCAGCCGCGGUAAUACGUAGGGUGCGAGCGUUAAUCGGAAUUACUGGGCGUAAAGCGUGCGCAGGCGGUUUCGUAAGACAGGCGUGAAAUCCCCGGGCUUAACCUGGGAACUGCGCUUGUGACUGCGAGGCUAGAGUACGGCAGAGGGAGGUAGAAUUCCACGUGUAGCAGUGAAAUGCGUAGAGAUGUGGAGGAAUACCGAUGGCGAAGGCAGCCUCCUGGGCCAGUACUGACGCUCAUGCACGAAAGCGUGGGGAGCAAACAGG